rnacentral:rRNA from 1 species
UACGGAGGGGGCGAGCGUUAUUCGGAAUUAUUGGGCGUAAAGCGUGCGCAGGCGGUUCGCCAAGUCAGGUGUGAAAUCCCCGGGCUUAACCUGGGAAUUGCGCUUGAAACUAGCGGGCUUGAGUGUGGCAGAGGGGGGUGGAAUUCCACGUGUAGCAGUGAAAUGCGUAGAGAUGUGGAGGAACACCGAUGGCGAAGGCAGCCCCCUGGGUCAACACUGACGCUCAUGCACGAAAGCGUGGGGAGCAAACAGG